rnacentral:rRNA from 1 species
GAGUUUGAUCCUGGCUCAGAGCGAACGCUGGCGGCAGGCUUAACACAUGCAAGUCGAGCGCCCCGCAAGGGGAGCGGCAGACGGGAGAGUAACACGUGGGAACGUACCCUUCAGUUCGGAACAACCAAGGGAAACUUUGGCUAAUACCGGAUACGUCCGAAAGGAGAAAGAUUUAUCGCUGAAGGAUCGGCCCGCGUCUGAUUAGCUAGUUGGUGAGGUAAUGGCUCACCAAGGCGACGAUCAGUAGCUGGUCUGAGAGGAUGAUCAGCCUCACUGGGACUGAGACACGGCCCAGACUCCUACGGGAGGCAGCAGUGGGGAAUAUUGGACAAUGGGCGCAAGCCUGAUCCAGCCAUGCCGCGUGAGUGAUGAAGGCCUUAGGGUUGUAAAGCUCUUUCGUCAGGGAAGAUAAUGACGGUACCUGAAGAAGAA